rnacentral:rRNA from 1 species
AUCUUGACCUCAGAUCAGGCAAGGCUACCCGCUGAAUUUAAGCAUAUUAAUAAGCGGAGGAAAAGAAACUAACAAGGAUUCCCCCAGUAACGGCGAGUGAAGCGGGAAUAGCUCAAAUUUGAAAUCUCCGACGCUUGCGUCGGCGAGUUGUAGUUGCGAGAAGCACUUUCUAGGCGGAUCGGUCGUGCCUAAGUUGCUUGGAACAGUACGUCACAGAGGGUGACAACCCCGUCUGUGGCGCGGCCGGCCGCUCACGAUGCGCUUUCGAA